GAUGAACGCUGGCGGCGUGCUUAACACAUGCAAGUCGAACGGAAAGGCCCAAGCUUGCUUGGGUACUCGAGUGGCGAACGGGUGAGUAACACGUGGGUGAUCUGCCCUGCACUUCGGGAUAAGCCUGGGAAACUGGGUCUAAUACCGGAUAGGACCACAUUUUGGAUGGUGUGGUGGAAAGUUUUUCGGUGUGGGAUGAGCUCGCGGCCUAUCAGCUUGUUGGUGGGGUAAUGGCCUACCAAGGCGUCGACGGGUAGCCGGCCUGAGAGGGUGUACGGCCACAUUGGGACUGAGGGACGGCCCAGACGCCUACGGGAGGCAGCAGUGGGGAAUAUUGCACAAUGGGCGCAAGCCUGAUGCAGCGACGCCGCGUGGGGGAUGACGGCCUUCGGGUUGUAAACUCCUUUCGCUAGGGACGAAGCGUUAUGUGACGGUACCUGGAGAAGAAGCACCGGCUAACUACGUG
rnacentral:rRNA from 1 species